AGGUGGCAAGCGUUGUCCGGAAUUAUUGGGCGUAAAGCGCGCGCAGGUGGUUCUUUAAGUCUGAUGUGAAAGCCCCCGGCUCAACCGGGGAGGGUCAUUGGAAACUGGGGAACUUGAGUGCAGAAGAGGAUAGUGGAAUUCCAAGUGUAGCGGUGAAAUGCGUAGAGAUUUGGAGGAACACCAGUGGCGAAGGCGACUGUCUGGUCUGUAACUGACACUGAGGCGCGAAAGCGUGGGGAGCAA
rnacentral:rRNA from 1 species